rnacentral:rRNA from 1 species
AUAAUAUUAAAUGGAUGCAGUAACUCUGACUGUAAUAAAGUAGCAUAAUUAGUUGUCAUUUAAUUGAUGGAGAGAAUGAAUGGUUACACGAAUUUUUCACUGUCUUAAAAAAAAUUUUUUAAAAUUGAAAUAAUAGUUAAGAUGCUAUUUAAAAUUGUAAGACGAAGAGACCCUAUAGAGCUUUACUAUAAACUUUUUUCCUAAAAAUAAUAAAAAAUUAUUAAAACUAGAAAGUUUGGUAGUUUAGUUGGGGCGACUGUUUUUUAAAAAUAACAAAAAUAAGCAAUAUAAUAAAUUUAUUUAUUGUAUAAUUAAACAAUUUAACAAUUACUAUAGUAGGCUAUAAUGACCCGUUAUUAUAAUAAAUAAUAAAUAACGAUUAAUUGAUAAAAGCUACCUUAGGGAUAACAGGAUAAUUUUGUUUUAGAGUCCUUAUCA